AUUGAACGCUGGCGGCAGGCCUAACACAUGCAAGUCGAGCGGAGCGGCGGACGGGUGAGUAAUGUAUGGGGAACUGCCCGAUAGAGGGGGAUAACUACUCGAAAGAGUGGCUAAUACCCGAUACUGUUGGAGCGGCCAAUAUCGGAUUAGCUAGUUGGGGGGGUAAAGGCUCACCAAGGGAACGAUCCGUAGCUGGUUUGAGAGGACGAUCAGCCACACUGGGACUGAGACACGGCCCAGACUCCUACGGGAGGCAGCAGUGGGGAAUCUUGGACAAUGGGCGAAACCCUGACCCAGCCAUCCCGCGUGUAUGAUGAAGGCCUUCGGGUUGUAAAGUACUUUUGUCAGAGAAGCGGUAUCUGCAGAAAAAGCACCGGCUAACUACGUGCCAGCAGCCGCGGUAAUAC
rnacentral:rRNA from 1 species